AUUUGAAGAUAAGAAA
rnacentral:sRNA from 1 species